rnacentral:miRNA from 1 species
UGCUCUGGAUUAGGCUUUGGUUUAAGGGAUGUUGUGGCUGAUUUGAUCUUCUAUCCAGACCA